rnacentral:rRNA from 1 species
GACGAACGCUGGCGGCGUGCCUAAUACAUGCAAGUCGAACGCUGAAGGAGGAGCUUGCUUCUCCGGAUGAGUUGCGAACGGGUGAGUAACGCGUAGGUAACCUGCCUGGUAGCGGGGGAUAACUAUUGGAAACGAUAGCUAAUACCGCAUAAGAGUAGAUGUUGCAUGACAUUUGCUUAAAAGGUGCAAUUGCAUCACUACCAGAUGGACCUGCGUUGUAUUAGCUAGUUGGUGGGGUAACGGCUUACCAAGGCGACGAUACAUAGCCGACCUGAGAGGGUGAUCGGCCACACUGGGACUGAGACACGGGCCAGACUCCUACGGGAGGCAGCAGUAGGGAAUCUUCGGAAAUGGACGGAAGUCUGACCGAGCAACGCCGCGUGAGUGAAGAAGGGUUUCGGAUCGUAAAGCUCUGUUGUAAGAGAAGAACGAGUGUGAGAGUGGAAAGUUCACACUGUGACGGUAUCUGACCAGAAAGGGACGGCUAACUACGUG